rnacentral:misc_RNA from 1 species
GAAGUGCGAAAAGUGUCACGACUUGCAGAUUCCCGAGAGCUGAUAAAUCUCUGAAUGCAAAUGGCGGACCGGUAUCAAAGCCGGCCAUGUAUUGCAGAGUGUUGUUGUUCCUACUAUUCAUCCCCUGCAUUGCAAUCGUCUUGCCAUGUACCGUUAGGGAUCUGCGCUUGCCAUGAUUUCAGCGAGCGUUAAAUUGGAGUUUACUGUUGGUGCCUUCGGGGACCAACAGCAAGCUUCGCAACUUAGCUGUUCCAGCUAGAUUGUCGAGGUUACAGACUCUUAAUUCUUCUAAUCCAAACCUCUGCGAUGCAAGAUAACCCGCUGAACUUAA